CAGUCGCCGCGGUAAUACGAAGGUCCCAAGCGUUGUUCGGAAUCACUGGGCGUAAAGGGAGCGUAGGCGGCGCGGUAAGUCAGAUGUGAAAUCCCGGGGCUCAACCCCGGAACUGCAUCCGAUACUGCCAUGCUUGAGGGUUGGAGAGGUAGCUGGAAUUCUCGGUGUAGCAGUGAAAUGCGUGGAUAUCGAGAGGAACACUCGUGGCGAAGGCGAGCUACUGGACAACAUCUGACGCUGAGGCUCGAAGGCUAGGGUAGCGAAAGGGAUUAGAUACCCCAGUAGUCCCUGUCUCUUAUAA
rnacentral:rRNA from 1 species